UCCGGAAGAGGAGAGUGGAAUUCCUGGUGUAGCGGUGAAAUGCGCAGAUAUCAGGAGGAACACCCGUGGCGAAAGCGGCUCUCUGGGACGGUACUGACGCUGAGACGCGAAAGCGUGGGGAGCGAACAGGAUUAGAUACCCUGGUAGUCCACGCCGUAAACGAUGGGCGCUAGGUGUGGGCGGUGUCGACUCCGUCCGUGCCGAAGCUAACGCAUUAAGCGCCCCGCCUGGGGAGUACGGCCGCAAGGCUAAAACUCAAAGGAAUUGACGGGGGCCCGCACAAGCAGCGGAGCAUGUGGUUUAAUUCGACGCGACGCGAAGAACCUUACCAGGGCUUGACAUGCACUGGAAAGCCGUAGAAAUACGGCCUCCCUUCGGGGCCAGUGCACAGGUGGUGCAUGGCUGUCGUCAGCUCGUGUCGUGAGAUGUUGGGUUAAGUCCCGCAACGAGCGCAACCUCUGUCCCAUGUUGCCAGCGUGAAAGACGGGGACUCAUGGGAGACUGCCGGUGACAAAUCGGAGGAAGGUGGGGAUGACGUCAAGUCAUCAUGCCCCUUAUGUCCUGGGCUACACACGUGCUACAUUGGCCGGUACAAAGGGCUGCAAACCCGCGAGGGGGAGCGAAUCCCAAAAAGCCGGUCCCGGUUCGGAUUGGAGGCUGAAACUCGCCUCCAUGAAGGCGGAGUUGCUAGUAAUCGCGGAUCAGCAACGCCGCGGUGAAUACGUUCCCGGGCCUUGUACACACCGCCCGUCACACCACGAAAGUCGGCAAUACCCGAAGCCGGUGGCCUAACCCGUAAGGGAGGGAGCCGUCGAAGGUAGGGUCGAUGAUUGGGGUG
rnacentral:rRNA from 1 species